rnacentral:lncRNA from 1 species
AAAAAUUAAAAAGAAAAUAAAAAAAUUAAGAAUAUUAAAAAAUAAAAAAAUAAAAAAACAAGCAAAUACAAAACUAUCUACAUGUAUAUAAAAAUCUACGUCUCCUAUCUAAAAUGUCUCUGCAGGUUUUGGCACACAAACGUAUAUUGUUAACACCACCUAGAAUCACAGAUAGCUUAUCUUGACUAGAAAAAUUAUCAAAACCAUCAAUAUUUAAAGUAUUAAAACAACUGUCCCUAAUAUCAUCAUACAGUGGGCAAAAUAAAAGUACAUGUUCUUCGUUUUCAAUGGAAUCAGGACAGCAAAAGCAAGUUCGUUCUAGCAAUCUUAGGUUCUCGUAUCUCCCGGUCUCGACGCGGAUUGGCGCUACUCCACACCUAAACUUAGCGUAAGCACUUCUGUACGAUGUUGGCAUGUUCACUUUAAGGUAGCACAAUACAAAGAUUUUUAACUCCCUAUUAGACAUCUUUAAACUGUUUUAAUUUCACUCAUCUUUCUUUAAAUUUUAUAAAUGAGGUACCAAAAGAAAGAAGAAGGAUUAAUCUUUCAAAUUGUGAUAAUUUCAUUAUGACAUAAUUAUUACAUAAUUAAUUGUUAUGUAAUCAGUUGCCAUUUUGUGAUGUCCAUACUUGAAUGAAUUUAGCUUCUUUGUUGUUCAUAGCAUCCAAAAAUAUUUUAUAGAUUCUUAAACAACACAGUUUGACCUCCAAAACUGUGUCUCAGAUUUUUCCUAUUGUAUUUCAUUCUCUCAUAAAUCUUCAAUGAAGUUUGCAACAUCAAUUCAUAAGAGACCACUAAAUUCAAUUGGGUAUAAAAUUGUUCUAUUGAUGUUUUGGAAAUCUGAGACACAGUUUUGGAGGUCAAGCUGUGUUGUACAAGAAUCUAUAAAAUAUUUUGGGAUGCUAUGAAGAAUAAAGAUGCUAAAUUCAAUCAAGUGUGGACAUCAAAAUUUAACAACUAAUUACAUAAUAAUUAAUUAUGUAAUUAUUAUAUCAUAAUGAUAUUAUCACAGUUUGAAAGAUUAAUCUUUCUUCUUUCUUUUGGUACCUCAUUUAUAAAGUAUAAAGAAGGAUGAAAUGAAUUACAUCAGUUUAAAGUUGUCUGAUUGGGAGUGAAAAAAUCUUUGUAUUGUGCUACCUUAAGGUAUGACUCAGUCUCAAAAGUGUUUUUGAACUGUCUGUAGAUUCGUAGCUUGUUUUGUCCGUUUCCUCUAACAGCGGCAAUUCUGUUUAAAUCUUCCUGCCAUUUGGAAAUAUGUUCAUUUAAAACAGAAUGACAAAUAGUGUCUUUUAUUUCGCAAAAUUGUACGUUUUCAUCAUGUAUAUUAUAACGCUCUAAAAUUCCACACGUUUUAAAUUUGUCUCUUAUUUUAAAGUUCCAGUUUUUGGCGUUUGAAAAGGCUUGACUGUCAGCCCAUACAAAGACCCUUUUAUUCAAUCGACCACUAUCAAAAUUUCGAAGUCUAUUCCACUGAUUUAGCACAGAUUUCCAUUGUUUUACUAUAACCGGAGUCCAACCAAUAUCCCCAUGUACGGCUGUAUUGGGCGUAUAUCGUCCUACACACAUAAAGAAACGAGCUGCUCGAUUUUGUACG